CCUACGGGGGGCUGCAGUGGGGGAUAUUGCACAAUGGGGGAAACCCUGAUGCAGCGACGCCGCGUGAGUGAAGAAGUAUUUCGGUAUGUAAAGCUCUAUCAGCAGGGAAGAAAAUGACAGUACCUGACUAAGAAGCCCCGGCGAACUACGUGCCAGCAGCCGCGGUAAUACGUAGGGGGCAAGCGUUAUCCGGAUAUACUGGGGGGAAAGGGAGCGUAGAGGGGUUUGCAAGUCUGAAGUGAAAGGGGGGGGCCCAACCCCAGGACUGCUUUGGAAACUGGAUGGCUGGAGUGCAGGAGAGGUAAGUGGAAUUCCUGGUGUAGCGGUGAAAUGCGUAGAUAUGAGGAGGAACACCGGUGGCGAAGGCAGCUUACUGGACUGUAACUGACGUUGAGGCUCGAAAGCGUGGGGAGCAAACAGGAUUAGAUACCCGAGUAGUC
rnacentral:rRNA from 1 species